AAUACAUUUUUACAAUACUGUGAACAAACCAGAGUGUAUAAAACAUGUAAUAUAUUAUAUAUUUAGCAAUGAAUGUUUUAUCAUGGAAUAUUGCUUAUAAUAUUUUUUAUCGAUGGAGAUAGUUGGAGUUAAGAGUACUGAUAGGCGAGCGGUGAAAUGCAUUGACCCUAUUAAGACUAACAAAAGCGAAAGCACUUAACUAGAUUAUUCUCUUUGUAUUAUUACAAUGAAGAGCGAAGGUUGGGGGAACAAAGAGGAUCAGAUACCCUCGUAGUCCUAUUUUUACAUCAAACUAUGGGAUUUCAAUCACACUCCUUACUAACAUAAAAUAUAUAAUAUAUAAUAUAAUUGAGUCGUAAAUACAACUCUUAUAUUUAAUUAUUAUUUUUAUUAUUCAUUAUAUGUACUUUGAGCUCAUAUAAUUAUAUAGGUGAGAUGUAAGCAUUAUAGGUGAAUAAUAUAUAAGUAAUAUUAUAUUAUUAUGAUCCUUAUUUAUAAAAAUGUAAUGUGACG
rnacentral:rRNA from 1 species